AAACAAAACUAGAAUUAGUUGUUCAAUUAAAAAGUGUCAGAUCCGUCUAGAGCUUCAAUUAGAGCGACGAUUCUUGAAUGAAUGCAAAGACCUUUGGCUAGGUCGCAGACACUGAAACUCCGCCAGACUUUAAUGAAUGGAAGCGAAGCGAAUAAGGGAGAUGUGAACUACUGGUAUGUCACUCAGAGUCAGAGAGAUGGCAGGGGCUGGAUCUGGAGCUGGAGCUAGAGCUGGGCUGAGUGAAAGAGGCAACUGGGUCAUUUGCUGGCGCUACGAAAUGCCACCGAGUGUGUAUCCAAAUCAAGCGGCGAGAGAUGUCACAGCCAGAGCUGGCGACACGGAGACACCAAACAGUUGGCGACAGUUGCCGUCGCUGCCGAAAUGUUGUCGCGACAAAAUGUUGCUGUCGCUAGCUGUCGCUCUCGUCUCUGUUGCUGUCUCUGUCGCUGUCGCUGUUGCUGUCUCUGUCUCUGUCUCUUGUUGCCAGCGGAUGAGUGACGAGCGGAUGGCUGCCUUUCCGAAUGUGGGUCGUUGUAAUUAAGCCAUUGGCCCAGAACAUGCAAAUAGCUGCAACUAAUUCCGUUUGAAUGCAUUUCUAGAGAUGGAAAACAUUUCGAUAACGAUAAAUUAGAGAAGAUGAAAUGAUAAUAUUAGAAAAAAUCUGUAUAAGCUGUAUAGAUCGUAAAUGAUACUAUUUUAAAUACAAUAUUCAUAUGCUCGA